CCUACGGGGGGCUGCAGUGGGGAAUAUUGGACAAUGGGCGAAAGCCUGAUCCAGCCAUGCCGCGUGUGUGAAGAAGGCCUUCGGGUUGUAAAGCACUUUCAGUGGGGAAGAAAGCCUUGGGGCUAAUACCCUCGAGGAAGGACAUCACCCACAGAAGAAGCACCGGCUAACUCCGUGCCAGCAGCCGCGGUAAUACGGAGGGUGCGAGCGUUAAUCGGAAUUACUGGGCGUAAAGCGCGCGUAGGCGGUCUGAUAAGCCGGUUGUGAAAGCCCCGGGCUCAACCUGGGAACGGCAUCCGGAACUGUCAGGCUAGAGUGCAGGAGAGGAAGGUAGAAUUCCCGGUGUAGCGGGGAAAUGCGUAGAGAUCGGGAGGAAUACCAGUGGCGAAGGCGGCCUUCUGGACUGACACUGACGCUGAGGUGCGAAAGCGUGGGUAGCAAACAGGAUUAGAUACCCGAGUAGUC
rnacentral:rRNA from 1 species